CUAGGGACUCAGAAAAAGGAGUUUGGUGGCUUGGGGGUACCCAAUUUGAGAUAGUUUAACAUGGCCUUGUUAGCCCCUUGGGCUAAAAGGUACUUUAUGGAUAGUGAUAAAAACUGGGUGAGAUUGAUAGACCAUAAAUACAGAACUAACAAACCUAAUUUGUUGUGGUCAAAACAGGGUGUGGGAUCUCCUUUUUGGAAAGGCAUUACUUGGGCUUUUGAAGGUGUUAGGCCUUUUUUUAGAUGGAACUUGGGCAAUGGCAAUAAGAUCAGCUUCUGGGAUGACACCUGGGUUGGGGACUCUUCUCUAAAAACUCAAUUCUGGGAAGUUUAUGAAAUUUGUCAACAGCAACAAUGUGUGGUCUCAGAGGUGUGGGAUGGUUUCAAUCUGAAACUCACCUUCAGCAGGUGUGUGGGCGCUGAGUUUAUGGAAAAGUGGCACGACCUGAUCCGGGUCAUUUCUACCAAAAAUCUGACCAACGAGGAAGACCACCCCGUUUGGUUGUUGGAACCAUCAGGGGUCUACUCGGUCAAAUCCUUUUACAAUGUGAUCAACUGGGGGGGGGGGGUUCUACCCCCAUCUGGAAAAAAAUUGGAAAAUUGUGGUGCCUCACAGAUACCUAGUCUUUUUGUGGAUGGCUUAUAA
rnacentral:rRNA from 1 species